rnacentral:lncRNA from 1 species
ACCAGGAUCCAGAAUACAAGGUAAUAAAUAUACUAAUUUACAAUAACAAUAUAUGUCUUAAAACUCCUUUUAUUCUAGCUAAGUAUCUUAAUCAACCAGUAAUUUUAGGAAAACCAUUUCUUGACCUCUUAGAAUCUUUCCAUAUUGACCAAGAUGGAACUAAAACAAAACUCCUAGGACAAAACUUAAAAUUCAAUUUCAUUAAUCUUCACUCCAAAACAAGUAUAAUUAAAUACAACCAACAAAAACAAAUGAGGGGAACUCAACUCCCUAUUAAACAAUUGAGAGUUAACUUCUAGUACAAAAUAUGCGAAAUAUUACCUUAUGAACUUCAUGGUAUUAUUCUUGAAAAAAUCUUCCAACCUAAUGAGAUUAAAGAAAUAUUUCAAACUCUUAGCAAAUAUCUCAUAAUAGAUUGGUGUUGGCCAAAGCUUAGUAUUCCUAAUAUAAAUAUAAAUCCCUCUAAUAUUACGAUUAGAGCCUUACAUAAGGGAUUAAUCAAACUAGCCUCC